rnacentral:rRNA from 1 species
AAAUUGUUGAAAGGGAAGCGCUUGUGACCAGACUUGCGCCGGGCGGCUCAUCAGGGGUUCUCCCCUGUGCACUCCGCCCGGCUCAGGCCAGCAUCGGUUCUCGUGGGGGGAUAAGAACGGUGGGAACGUGGCCCCCCUCCGGGGGGGUGUUAUAGCCCGCCGUACGAUACCCUCGUGGGGACCGAGGUUCGCGCUCCGCAAGGAUGCUGGCGUAAUGGUCAUCAGCGACCCGUCUUGAAACACGGACCAAGGAGUCGUCCAUUAGAGCGAGCGUUUGGGUGUAAAACCCGCACGCGUAAUGAAAGUGAACGCAGGUGAGAGCUUCGGCGCAUCAUCGACCGAUCCUGAUGUCUUCGGAUGGAUUUGAGUAAGAGUUUUAACGGACGGACCCGAAAGACAGUGAACUAUGCUUGUAUAGGGUGAAGCCAGAGGAAACUCUGGUGGAGGCUCGCAGCGGUUCUGACGUGCAAAUCGAU